UACGGAGGAUGCAAGCGUUAUCCGGAUUCAUUGGGUUUAAAGGGUGCGUAGGCGGCCAUUUAAGUCAGCGGUGAAAUUUUGCAGCUUAACUGUAACAGUGCCGUUGAUACUGGGGAGCUAGGAUUUGGUUGCUGUGGGUGGAAUGUGUGGUGUAGCGGUGAAAUGCUUAGAGAUCACACAGAAUAUCGAUUGCGAAGGCAGCCCACAAAGCCAAGAUUGACGCUGAGGCACGAAAGUGUGGGGAUCAAACAGGA
rnacentral:rRNA from 1 species